rnacentral:lncRNA from 1 species
CAUCACACCAUUACCAACUAUUACUUCUUCCGUUUCCUAUGAAGCAUGAAAUCAAAGUAAGACAGAAGGUGGCAAUGGUCCAAAACCAAAUGUCAAGAUGUGGUAUGAUAAUUUGUUGGAGAAUAUGACACUGAAAGAUUAAUUUCCACCCAUUUACUGCCAUGUAAACUGAGAACUUUACAUCCCUUCUGCAAGAGCUGGAAACUGUGACACUUUAGGAUGAUAAAUAGUGACCCCACAUUUUGGAAUGGCAAAAAGAGUGGUAAAUUUACUGUUAAAUCUUGCUACGGGGAUAUCGUCUCAAUCAGGUGAAGAAGAAAACCACUGUCUUGAUGAAUUAUUUGGAAAACCAAGUUGAUUUCUUUGGAUAGAUAGCAUCACGCAGAGCAUAUUUGGCACAUGGCUACUUACAAAGAAGGGGAUUCCGUCUCUGCAGUGGAUAUCUUAUGUGAGACGAAGCUAAUGAAUAAGUCAAUAAUCUCCUUCUACUUUGCAUACGAACAUUGAAAUAUGGAUAAAUAUUCCUGAAUAUCUUUGGUGUCCAGCGGCUCAUGCCAGGCGUCAUGAAUAGGGGCGGAGGCACAAGUUGCUCUACCGGUUCGAUCGAACCCAGUAACUUUUGCUCAAACAAUAUAUUUG